UCAGCCCGGCAUUGCUGUUAACCCAUUGGAUGGCUUCUCUGCUUCCAGAAAAAUAAGACUGUCUGUCCUGCCACCUAUCACCACGGAGACUAUCCCCGAAGCUGGUUUUCCUGCUACUAGGUCGGUUUCCCGAGUCCCACUCACCGGCUCCUCCUUUAACCUCCCGUGGCUGAGAAUUGCAAAAUCCAAAGAGUGGAUUAAAUCAUCCGCGGGCUCUCUUCCAGCCCUGCCAUCUGCGGUUCUGCGGCUCUUGAGAAAUCAGACCUGAAUACCCCCAAAGAGGCCUGGCCUUCCUAGGAGAUCUAAGAACCUUCUCGGCCUAGGCUGGGUUGCCAGCGCCCUCUCGUGAGCAGAUCUGACCCGUCACAGAGCCAGGAAAUGACGUCGUCAGGAAAUUGCAAAAUCAAAAUAGCAACGAGGCAAGCACCUAAAUAUUAAGGGUUGACCUUGAUCAGGGCUUUGGAUGCCGACCUGCAGGCCGCACGAGGCUUACCCCCUCCACCCUUGCAGCACCCCCAUGGAGGGAGCCGUGCUACUUCUGCCAUUUUAGAGAUCCCUUGUCCAAGGCCGCCCAGCUCCCACCCAAGCCCUGAACUCAGGCAGCGGGAUUCCAAGGCGUCUUCAGAACUCACCACUACCGUGUCCCAUCAGAGGAAAAUGACUUUAAGAGGCCAUAGAGUUCUUUUCUUCAUGGAGCGACUCAAAGGACUAAUGUUGCAGGGAACUCACUUCUGGAAACACCGUUCUAGCUCAUUGAUGCUCGGCUUGUAGGCGAGGAAAUGAAGACCCAGGGAGCUAGUGGACCCGGGGACUCAGACACUCGUCAAAAGAAAGACCAGCUCAUGACUGACCCCACCGUCAAGGAACCUUUGGAAUGGGGGCAGGUGCCAUCUACUGAGGCUGAUGUGAUGUGGAAUCAGGAUCAGCCCCGUCUCAGAACGCGCUCUGUAAUGACUGGAAAGACAGAAAAAACCAACUCUUCCUUUUCAAAAGGUGACGUGUUGCCCUUUUGGGAAAAUGACAUAUAUAAAGCAGAAUCUGGUCAACCAUCUUCCUAAAGGGUGAUUUUCUAGACAAUGAUAAAGACUGAUUAAGUGCUUUUCUUCCCAUGGGGACACCGAAGUGAGCUGGAAACACCUGAUUUUGGUCGCCUUGCUGGGCCUGCUUCUUUGCGGGAGGCUCGUCAUGUGUGGAACUCAAAGCGAUGCUGCCAUCUGCUGUAGAAGUGGAGGAUUUCCCCCUCUCUUUCCUAAACAAUUUAACAGUUGUAGAAAUAAAGGAGAGAUUUCAAUCUUAAUCUAUCUCCUCAUGUGCUAAAUUGGUGCCUCAUUGUGAUCAUGGCUAAAGACAUAAUUUUGGUUCACCUCCCAUGAGAGCAUAUUUCAAGGUCUUUUUUUUUUUUAUAAAGAUUUUAUUUAUUUAUUCACCAGAGACACACAGAGAGAGGUCGAGACACAGGCAGAGGGAGAAGCAGGCUCCCUGCGGGGAGGCCGAUGUGGGACUCGAUCCCAGGACCCCAGAGAUCAUGACCUGAGCCAAAGAUAGAUGGUCAACCAUUGAGCCACCCAAGUGCCCAUAUUUCAAGGUCUUAAUUGCGGUGUUGAUGCUUAACCAACAGACCACUGACUUCCCUCAACCGCCACCACCACCACAGACAUCCGGGCACAGUGAUCUCUCACCUGGCCCUGGAGCCACUUCCAUCUAAUCACCUGCCACUGUUUCCUUCCCUACACACUUUCUUCUCCAGGUGAUCACCCUCAUGGAGGGCAGAGCACAUACUCCCCUUCAUGCAACCCCCGGAGGUCCCCCAGGGUCAAAUGCAGACUCUUAGCAUGGCCUGGGCAGCCCCACCUCAUCUAGCUCCUGCCUGCUCUGACCUCUGGGUUCCUCCAACCACGACCUUCUGUCUUUUUUUUUUUUUUUUCACAAGAAAGGCUCCUUUGCCCCCCUUGGAUCUUUUGUAUUUGCCAUUCUUUCUGCCAAAAGGUUGCUCUGGACCCCAGUCUCUGCAGUCUGUCUCCUCUGUUACUUAAAACUUA
rnacentral:lncRNA from 1 species